rnacentral:rRNA from 1 species
AUUGAACGCUGGCGGCAGGCUUAACACAUGCAAGUCGAGCGGGGGAAGGUAGCUUGCUACCGGACCUAGCGGCGGACGGGUGAGUAAUGCUUAGGAAUCUGCCUAUUAGUGGGGGACAACAUCUCGAAAGGGAUGCGAAUACCGCAUACGUCCUACGGGAGAAAGCAGGCGAUCUUCGGACCUUGCGCUAAUAGAGGAGCCACAGUCGGAUUAGCUAGUUGGUGGGGUAAAGGCCUAACAAGGCGACGAUCUGUAGCGGGUCUGAGAGGAUGAUCCGCCACACUGGGACUGAGACACGGCCCAGACUCCUACGGGAGGCAGCAGUGGGGAAUACUGGACAAUGGGGGGAACCCUGAUCCAGCCAUGCCGCGUGUGUGAAGAAGGCCUUAUGGUUGUAAAGCACUUUAAGCGAGGAGGAGGCUACUUUAGUUAAUACCUAGAGAUAGUGGACGUUACUCGCAGAAUAAGCACCGGCUAACUCUGUGCCAGCAGCCGCCGUAAUAC